rnacentral:rRNA from 1 species
AUGGCCACCCGCCGAAACGUCGACGAGGAAGUGCGCCUCGCCGCCCCGACGGAACCCCGGAGCCUAGAGCCGACGGCAGCACAAGACAUCUCGUUCUUGAAGGAGGCUCUCGACACUGCAACAUUGGGGGAAUCAUCUGUCAGUGCCACUUCCUCUUCCUGCCCGCAGGUGGAGACAGUAGCUGCUGAUGAGAGAGGCGUCGGGCUCUCGCCACCACCACCUGGGCGUUUGUCUCCUAGUCCUGGGACACCGGCCAUCACGUCCCGGAGACCUUAUAAUUGGGCCAAGACAUUUAUCAUCAGAACUGAUCUCCGGGGAUCAGUCCACAUAUAUCCUCCUAUUGGUGGGCCAUUCCAGAGCGUACAGGAAGCUGAUGAUGCUAUCGGUCGCCAUCUCGAUGACCUGCGGGAUAAGAACGUGUGCUUAUAUGGGAUGUCCUGGACGGAGAGAGUUACAAGGCGGGCUCUUUACCGGCCUGAUGGUACAAGGAAGAAGCUUUCAAAGUCGUUAUUAGAACCGGAAAGGCUUAAGCAUACUCGCCUAUUGGUUCAAGCUCUACUGGACAAAUAUAACGAGGACCACAAUCUUUUGGGGAAUCUCGCAUAUGAACUCAAAGAUAUUGCGUGCAUCCAGUCAGUUUGUGAGGGCAGCCCCCAUAAGUAUGAUUGGUACUAUCAUCUCAAUUUCACUACAAGGAAUAAAGGAGAUGAUGAAUUGCACAGUGGCACCGACAAUCUAUUCUUUGCAGAAAUCACACGUAUGGGAGGACCAUAUAAAGAUUUUGUGCUCAGCUGUUUCUACAUGUUUAAACCUAAUGAUAAUGGUCACUGCCGCGGUUGUACGAAUAACAAAAGGGUUAACUUGAAGCACCCUAAUGAUGCUGAUGAAUACUCUGGUGGUCACUUGGAUCCAUAUUUGCCGUACGGUGGUGACACUAAUAUACAAGAUAGCAGCUCUGAUGAGAAUUUGGACGCUGAGGAGAAGGAAGCUAUGCUGCAAGCUAAGGAGGAGGCUAGGGUAAAGCGUAUAUACGCGUGCCUUGAUGAUCCAACUUUUUUGGAGAAAAUGAGAAGGCGCUUCAAAGAUGAUCCGCGUGCCGAAGCUUUUUUCAGCCCCCAAAAAAACAAGAUCCUCAGCAUGCAACACCAUUAG